rnacentral:rRNA from 1 species
CGCGUGUGUGAAGAAGGCCUUAGGUUGUAAAGCACUUUCAAUUGGAAGGAAAAACUCAUGGCCAAUACCCGUGAGCUUGACAUUACCUUUAGAAGAAGCACCGGCUAACUCCGUGCCAGCAGCCGCGGUAAUACGGAGGGUGCAAGCGCUAAUCGGAAUUACUGGGCGUAAAGCGUGCGUAGGCGGCUCGCUAAGUCAGAUGUGAAAGCCCCGGGCUCAACCUGGGAACGGCAUUUGAAACUGGCAAGCUAGAGUUUAGGAGAGGAGAGUGGAAUUUCAGGUGUAGCGGUGAAAUGCGUAGAGAUCUGAAGGAACACCAGUGGCGAAGGCGACUCUCUGGCCUAAAACUGACGCUGAGGUACGAAAGCGUGGGUAGCAAACAGGAUUAGAUACCCUGGUAGUCCACGCCGUAAACGAUGUCAACUAGCCGUUGGCUCUCUUAGAGAGUUAGUGGCGCAGCUAACGCAUUACGUUGACCGC